rnacentral:rRNA from 1 species
GGGUUGUGAGGUUAAGCGACUAAGCGUACACGGUGGAUGCCCUGGCAGUCAGAGGCGAUGAAGGACGUGCUAAUCUGCGAAAAGCGUCGGUAAGGUGAUAUGAACCGUUACAGCCGGCGAUGUCCGAAUGGGGAAACCCAGUGCAAUUCGUUGCACUAUCGUUAACUGAAUACAUAGGUUAACGAGGCGAACCGGGGGAACUGAAACAUCUAAGUACCCCGAGGAAAAGAAAUCAACCGAGAUUCCCCCAGUAGCGGCGAGCGAACGGGGAGCAGCCCAGAGUCUGAAUCAGCUUGUGUGUUAGUGGAACGGUCUGGAAAGUCCGACGGUACAGGGUGAUAGUCCCGUACACCAAAAUGCACAGGCUGUGAACUCGAAGAGUAGGGCGGGACACGUGGUAUCCUGUCUGAAUAUGGGGGGACCAUCCUCCAAGGCUAAAUACUCCUGACUGACCGAUAGUGAACCAGUACCGUGAGGGAAAGGCGAAAAGAACCCCGGCGAGGGGAGUGAAAAAGAACCUGAAACCGUGUACGUACAAGCAGUGGGAGCACCUUCGGGUGUGACUGCGUACCUUUUGUAUAAUGGGUCAGCGACUUAUAUUCUGUAGCAAGGUUAACCGUAUAGGGGAGCCGCAGGGAAACCGAGUCUUAACUGGGCGUUAAGUUGCAGGGUAUAGACCCGAAACCCGGUGAUCUAGCCAUGGGCAGGUUGAAGGUUGGGUAACACUAACUGGAGGACCGAACCGACUAAUGUUGAAAAAUUAGCGGAUGACUUGUGGCUGGGGGUGAAAGGCCAAUCAAACCGGGAGAUAGCUGGUUCUCCCCGAAAGCUAUUUAGGUAGCGCCUCGUGAACUCAUCUUCGGGGGUAGAGCACUGUUUCGGCUAGGGGGUCAUCCCGACUUACCAACCCGAUGCAAACUACGAAUACCGAAGAAUGUUAUCACGGGAGACACACGGCGGGUGCUAACGUCCGUCGUGAAGAGGGAAACAACCCAGACCGCCAGCUAAGGUCCCAAAGUCAUGGUUAAGUGGGAAACGAUGUGGGAAGGCACAGACAGCCAGGAUGUUGGCUUAGAAGCAGCCAUCAUUUAAAGAAAGCGUAAUAGCUCACUGGUCGAGUCGGCCUGCGCGGAAGAUGUAACGGGGCUAAACCAUGCACCGAAGCUGCGGCAGCGACACUAUGUGUUGUUGGGUAGGGGAGCGUUCUGUAAGCCUGCGAAGGUGACCUGUGAGGGUUGCUGGAGGUAUCAGAAGUGCGAAUGCUGACAUAAGUAACGAUAAAGCGGGUGAAAAGCCCGCUCGCCGGAAGACCAAGGGUUCCUGUCCAACGUUAAUCGGGGCAGGGUGAGUCGACCCCUAAGGCGAGGCCGAAAGGCGUAGUCGAUGGGAAACAGGUUAAUAUUCCUGUACUUGGUGUUACUGCGAAGGGGGGACGGAGAAGGCUAUGUUAGCCGGGCGACGGUUGUCCCGGUUUAAGCAUGUAGGCUGGUUAUCCAGGCAAAUCCGGAUAAUCAAGGCUGAGGUGUGAUGACGAGGCACUACGGUGCUGAAGUAACAAAUGCCCUGCUUCCAGGAAAAGCCUCUAAGCAUCAGGUAACAUCAAAUCGUACCCCAAACCGACACAGGUGGUCAGGUAGAGAAUACCAAGGCGCUUGAGAGAACUCGGGUGAAGGAACUAGGCAAAAUGGUGCCGUAACUUCGGGAGAAGGCACGCUGGUGUGUAGGUGAAGUCCCUGCGGAUGGAGCUGAGACCAGUCGAAGAUACCAGCUGGCUGCAACUGUUUAUUAAAAACACAGCACUGUGCAAACACGAAAGUGGACGUAUACGGUGUGACGCCUGCCCGGUGCCGGAAGGUUAAUUGAUGGGGUUAUCCGUAAGGAGAAGCUCUUGAUCGAAGCCCCGGUAAACGGCGGCCGUAACUAUAACGGUCCUAAGGUAGCGAAAUUCCUUGUCGGGUAAGUUCCGACCUGCACGAAUGGCGUAAUGAUGGCCAGGCUGUCUCCACCCGAGACUCAGUGAAAUUGAACUCGCUGUGAAGAUGCAGUGUACCCGCGGCAAGACGGAAAGACCCCGUGAACCUUUACUAUAGCUUGACACUGAACAUUGAGCCUUGAUGUGUAGGAUAGGUGGGAGGCUUUGAAGCGUGGACGCCAGUCUGCGUGGAGCCAACCUUGAAAUACCACCCUUUAAUGUUUGAUGUUCUAACGUUGGCCCCUUACCGGGGUUGCGGACAGUGUCUGGUGGGUAGUUUGACUGGGGCGGUCUCCUCCCAAAGCGUAACGGAGGAGCACGAAGGUUAGCUAAUCCUGGUCGGACAUCAGGAGGUUAGUGCAAUGGCAUAAGCUAGCUUGACUGCGAGCGUGACGGCGCGAGCAGGUGCGAAAGCAGGUCAUAGUGAUCCGGUGGUUCUGAAUGGAAGGGCCAUCGCUCAACGGAUAAAAGGUACUCCGGGGAUAACAGGCUGAUACCGCCCAAGAGUUCAUAUCGACGGCGGUGUUUGGCACCUCGAUGUCGGCUCAUCACAUCCUGGGGCUGAAGUAGGUCCCAAGGGUAUGGCUGUUCGCCAUUUAAAGUGGUACGCGAGCUGGGUUUAGAACGUCGUGAGACAGUUCGGUCCCUAUCUGCCGUGGGCGCUGGAGAAUUGAGGGGGGCUGCUCCUAGUACGAGAGGACCGGAGUGGACGCAUCACUGGUGUUCGGGUUGUCAUGCCAAUGGCACUGCCCGGUAGCUAAAUGCGGAAGAGAUAAGUGCUGAAAGCAUCUAAGCACGAAACUUGCCCCGAGAUGAGUUCUCCCUGAGACUUUAAGUCUCCUGAAGGAACGUUAAAGACGAUGACGUUGAUAGGCCGGGUGUGUAAGCGCAGCGAUGCGUUGAGCUAACCGGUACUAAUGAACCGUGAGGCUUAACCUUACAACGCCGAAG